UCCACCUCGGGCACCCACCACGGCAGCCACAAAAAGAGGAAGAACAAGAACCGGCACAGCCCGUCUGGCAUGUUUGAUUAUGACUUUGAGAUUGAUUUGAAGUUGAACAAGAAACCCCGAGCUGUAAGUAUGGGCGGCUGCCCUCCUGGAUUCUUCUCCCCAUGCCCUCCUCCUCCUCCUCCUCGGUUCGCAGAGGCCCCACUCAGGGUAGCCGUGGGGUUCCAGGGGACAGCUGGGUAGGGCAGCCUUAAAGUCCCAGCGGGGGGGGUGGUGGAAAGUGGGGAGGCAAACAGAGGCCCUCCAGGGAUGGCUGGCGUGUGGCUUCAUGCAACCUGGGCCCCAUAGCUGGUGCCAAAGGGACCCGGAGGGGGCAAUUCAGCCAUCUCUGCUCACCCUCUGGUCCUGAGGAGAAAAGGAAGCCCUCUCUCCUUUGGGUGUAGCCUUAGGUUGGAAGA
rnacentral:lncRNA from 1 species